rnacentral:rRNA from 1 species
CUAGUGUUGCAAAACUAGCGGACGAGCUGUGGAUAGGGGUGAAAGGCUAAACAAACUUGGAAAUAGCUGGUUCUCUCCGAAAACUAUUUAGGUAGUGCCUCAAGUAUUACCGACGGGGGUAGAGCACUGUUUUGGCUAGGGGGUCAUGGCGACUUACCAAACCAAGGCAAACUCCGAAUACCGUUGAGUACAGCUUGGGAGACAGAGCACCGGGUGCUAACGUCCGGACUCAAGAGGGAAACAACCCAGACCGCCAGCUAAGGUCCCUAAAAUUGGCUAAGUGGGAAACGAAGUGGGAAGGCUAAAACAGUCAGGAUGUUGGCUUAGAAGCAGCCAUCAUUUAAAGAAAGCGUAAUAGCUCACUGAUCGAGUCGUCCUGCGCGGAAGAUGUAACGGGGCUCAAGCCAGUUACCGAAGCUGCGGAUGCACAGCAAUGUGCGUGGUAGGAGAGCGUUCUGUAAGCCUGUGAAGGUGUCUGGUAACGGAUGCUGGAGGUAUCAGAAGUGCGAAUGCUGACAUGAGUAGCGUUAAAGGGGGUGAAAAGCCCCCUCGCCGUAAGCGCAAGGUUUCCUACGCAACGUUCAUCGGCGUAGGGUGAGUCGGCCCCUAAGGCGAGGCAGAGAUGCGUAGCUGAUGGGAAACAGGUCAAUAUUCCUGUACCGAUUACAAGUGCGAUGUGGGGACGGAGAAGGUUAGCUCAGCCAACUGUUGGAAUAGUUGGUUCAAGCCUGUAGUCGUGCCUGGUAGGCAAAUCCGCCGGGCUGAGAUGAGGGGUGAUAACGAGUCUGCUUGCAGACGAAGUGAGUGAUACCCUGCUUCCAGGAAAAGCCACUAAGCUUCAGCUUGUAAUUGACCGUACCGCAAACCGACACUGGUGCGCGAGAUGAGUAUUCUAAGGCGCUUGAGAGAACUCGGGAGAAGGAACUCGGCAAAUUGACACCGUAACUUCGGAAGAAGGUGUGCCCUAGUAGUGUGUAGUGAACAACGAAGCAUGAACGGGUUGCAAAAAAUAGGUGGCUGCGACUGUUUAUUAAAAACACAGCACUCUGCAAACACGAAAGUGGACGUAUAGGGUGUGACGCCUGCCCGGUGCUGGAAGAUUAAUUGAUGGGGUGCAAGCUCUUGAUCGAAGUCCCAGUAAACGGCGGCCGUAACUAUAACGGUCCUAAGGUAGCGAAAUUCCUUGUCGGGUAAGUUCCGACCUGCACGAAUGGCGUAACGAUGGCCACACUGUCUCCUCCCGAGACUCAGCGAAGUUGAAAUGUUUGUGAUGAUGCAAUCUCCCCGCGGAAAGACGGAAAGACCCCAUGAACCUUUACUGUAGCUUUGUAUUGGACUUUGAACAGAUCUGUGUAGGAUAGGUGGGAGGCUUUGAAGCCCGGUCGCUAGAUCGGGUGGAGCCAACGUUGAAAUACCACCCUGGUGUGUUUGAGGUUCUAACCUAGGUCCAUUAUCUGGAUCGGGGACAGUGCAUGGUAGGCAGUUUGACUGGGGCGGUCUCCUCCCAAAGCGUAACGGAGGAGUUCGAAGGUACGCUAGGUACGGUCGGACAUCGUGCUAAUAGUGCAAUGGCAUAAGCGUGCUUAACUGCGAGACUGACAAGUCGAGCAGAUGCGAAAGCAGGACAUAGUGAUCCGGUGGUUCUGUAUGGAAGGGCCAUCGCUCAACGGAUAAAAGGUACUCUGGGGAUAACAGGCUGAUACCGC